UACGUAGGGGGCAAGCGUUGUUCGGAAUUAUUGGGCGUAAAGCGUCCGCAGGUGGCUCGGUGUGUCAGGGGUUAAAACCCAAAGCUUAACUUUGGGAUCGCCUUUGAAACUGCCGAACUAGAGUACGGAAGAGGCAAGCAGAAUUCUCGGUGUAGUCGUAAUAAGCGUUGAUAUCGAGAAGAAUACCAAAUGCGAAGGCAGCUUGCUAGUACGUUACUGACACUCAGGGACGAAAGCGUGGGGAGCAAACAGG
rnacentral:rRNA from 1 species